ensembl:lncRNA
CACAGAGUUCGACAAGUGGAUUCAAUCCAAGCAUUCAAUCAGGAUUUAUAUUUUUUCAUUUUUGCCACAUACAUUUGAAACUUGUUUAAUAAAGUGUAAAAAAGAAAACAGAAUGGAUUUGGGAAGGAGAAAAUCUGCAUGUUUCUUUAUUUUGGUUGCCUUUCAAUUGGCUUCCACCUCGAUGACCGUAUCAGCGGAAUCCAGCACCAGCAUGUCACCAACCACUGGUGCAUCAACAUCAGCCGUUGGUUCUACAACAACAGCUGAUGUUUCUACAACCACUGGAGGGUCAACAAACGCUGGAGGAUCAACAACCACUGGAGGACCAGCAACCCCCGGAGGUUCAUCCACAACUGCAGCACCAACAACCACUGGAGGAUCAACAACCACUGAAGGGUCAACAACCACAGAAGGGUCGACAGCUACAGGAGGAUCGACAGCCCCUGGAGGAUCCACAACAACCGGAGCAUCAUCAACAACGCAAGAAACUCCAGCUAUUACUACCAGUUCUCCAACAACUACUGCUGGAUUAUCAACUACCACAGGAGGUUCAACCAUCACAAUUGGAUCAACAAUUGGUGGAUCAACAACCAUAGGAGUAACAACAACCACUGGAGAAUCAACGACUGGAGAAUCAACAAUCACUGCAGGACCAACCAACUCUGGGGGUUCAACCAUCACUACUGGAUCAACAACUGGUGGAUCAACAACCACUGCAGGAUCCACAACAACCGGAACAUCAUCAACAACGCAAGAAACUCCAGCUAUUGCUACCAGUUCUCCAACAACUACUGCUGGAUUAUCAACUGCCACUGGAGGUUCAACCAUCACAAUUGGAUCAACAAUUGGUGGAUCAACAACCAUGGGAGUAACAACAACCACUGGAGAAUCAACGACUGGAGAAUCAACAAUCACUGGAGGACCAAUCACCACUGGAGGUUCAACCAUCACAAUUGGAUCAACAAUUGGUGGAUCAACAACCAUGGGAGUAACAACAACCACUGGAGAAUCAACGACUGGAGAAUCAACAAUCACUGGAGGACCAAUCACCACUGGAGGUUCAACCAUCACAAUUGGAUCAACAAUUGGUGGAUCAACAACCAUGGGAGCAACAACAACCACUGGAGAAUCAACGACUGGAGAAUCAACAAUCACUGGAGCACCAACCACCACUGGAGGUUCAACCAUCACUACUGGAUCAACAACUGGUGGAUCAACAACUGGAGGAUCCACAACAACCGGAGCAUCUUUAACAACGCAAGAAACUCCAGCUAUUGCUACCAGAUCUCCAACAACUACUGCUGGAUUAUCAACUACCACUGGAGGUUCAACCAUCACGAUUGGAUCAACAAUUGGUGGAUCAACAACCAUAGGAGUAACAACAACCACUGGAGAAUCAACGACUGGAGAAUCAACAAUCACUGGAGGACCAACCACCACUGGAGGUUCUACCAUCAUUACUGGAUCAACAACUGGUGGAUCAACAACUGGAGGAUCCACAUCAACCGGACCAUCAUCAACAACGCAAGAAACUCCAACUAUUACAACAACUACCAGUUCUCCAACAACUACUGCUGGAUUAUCAACCACCACUGGAGGUUCAACCAUCACUACUGGAUUAACAAUUGGUGGAUCAACAACAAUAGGAGGAACAAUCACCACUGGAGGUUCAACCAUCACUACUGGAUCAACAACUGGUGGAUCAAUAACAACUGGAGGAUCCAUAACAACUGGAGCAUCAUCAUCAACCACACGAGAAACUCAGACUAUUACAACAACUACCAGUUCUCCAACCACUACUGCUGGAUUAUCAACUACCACUGGAGGAUCAACAACCACUCGAGGAUCCACAACGACUACAGGACCAACAACAACUGCAGAAUCAACAACCACUGGAGGAUCAACCAUCACUACUGGAUCAACAAUUGGUGGAUCAACAACCAUAGUAGGCAUUAUCACCACUGGAAGUUCAACCAUCACUACUGGAUCAACAACUGGUGGAUCAAUAACAACUGGAGGAUUCACAACAACUGGAGCAUCAUCAUCAACAACACAAGAAACUCCAACUAUUACAACAACUACCAGUUCUCCAACCACUACUGCUGGAUUAUCAACUACCACUGGAGGAUCAACAACCACUCGAGGAUCCACAACGACUGCAGGACCAACAGCAACUGCAGAAUCAACAACCACUGGAGGAUCAACAACCACUGGAGGAUCAACAACCACUGGAGGAUCAACAACCACUGGAGGGUCAGCAACCACUGGAGUAUCAACGACCACUGCAGUACCAACAACCACUGGAGGAUCAACCAUCACUACUGGAUCAACAAUUGGUGGAUCAACAACCAUAGUAGGCAUUAUCACCACUGGAAGUUCAACCAUCACUACUGGAUCAACAACUGGUGGAUCAAUAACAACUGGAGGAUUCACAACAACUGGAGCAUCAUCAUCAACAACACAAGAAACUCCAACUAUUACAACAACUACCAGUUCUCCAACAACUACUGCUGGAUUAUCAACUACCACUGGAGGAUCAACAACCACUCGAGGAUCCACAACGACUGCAGGACCAACAGCAACUGCAGAAUCAACAACCACUGGAGGAUCAACAACCACUGGAGGAUCAACAACCACUGGAGGAUCAACAACCACUGGAGGGUCAGCAACCACUGCAGUACCAACAACCACUGGAGGAUCAACAACCACUGAAGUACCAACAACAACUGGAGAAUCAACAACCACUGGAGGAUCAACAACCACUGGAGGAUCAACAACCACUGGAGGGUCAACAACCACUGCAGUACCAACAACCACUGGAGGAUCAACAACCACUGAAGUACCAACAACCACUGGAGAAUCAACAACCACUGGAGGGUCAACCAUCCCUACUGAAUCAAUAACUGGUGGAUCAACAACAACUGGAGCAUCAUCAUCAACAACACAAGAAACUCCAACUAUUACAACAACUACCAGUUCUCCGACCACUACUGCUGGAUUAUCAACUACCACUGGAGGAUCAACAACCACUCGAGGAUCCACAACGACUGCAGGACCAACAGCAACUGCAGAAUCAACAACCACUGGAGGAUCAACAACCACUGGAGGAUCAACAACCACUGGAGGGUCAGCAACCACUGCAGUACCAACAACCACUGGAGGAUCAACAACCACUGAAGUACCAACAACAACUGGAGAAUCAACAACCACUGGAGGAUCAACAACCACUGGAGGAUCAACAACCACUGGAGGGUCAGCAACCACUGCAGUACCAACAACCACUGGAGGAUCAACAACCACUGAAGUACCAACAACCACUGGAGAAUCAACAACCACUGGAGGGUCAACCAUCCCUACUGAAUCAAUAGCUGGUGGAUCAACAACAACUGGAGCAUCAUCAUCAACAACACAAG